CUACUCCUCAUAUAGGUUGCCUUCCUCACUGGUUCCCUUCCUCGCUUCCCUCUCUCCGCGCCAGUGUCCUUCCUGCUAAUUCUCCUCACCAGACGACGCUCUCCGACUCCCUCAUUUCAGUGCAACAUAGUGAAGUGGUCGCUUGUGUUUGGUCCAGGACGAGGAAACGCUCAAUAAAAACAUUCUUGUGUCUGGCCAUCUGUUGGCGGACGGCCCUUACAUGCAUUGUGUGGCGUUGAAGGUCAGAUGAAUUACCAAGUGAAGAAAGAACCUAAAGUGAACGUUAUAAGACAUUUUGUUUCUUUUUAGGUGCUGGAAAACACGAAUAAAAAAUGAAGACCGCAAGGUAUGAGAAAGAUGAAUAAUGCAACACGUCAAGUCGUCAUCUGAGUGAUCAGUUUCCUGGUACUGUGCUUCUAGUUUUCUCCUGCGGGUUUGUUAAGGAGGAAGCGAGGACAUCAUGAAGACACACCUGUGCCUCCUGACUCUCGUGGCCCUCGUGCUGAGCGAAGGGCGGCGAGUCGAGGCCUCUGAGUGUGAGGAUGACUGGCGUGUGUUGGACGGUCACUGCUAUCGUGUAUGGGACGUACGCGCCUCUCACUCCCUGGCCACAGCUACCUGUCGGGCCCACGCGGCACACCUGGCCUCCGUGCACACGAAAAGAGAGAACGACUUCCUCCUGUCGUUAUUGGAAGGCGCUGACGGGAUGUGGCUGGGCCUGACGGCGGAGGAGGUCAACGAAGAGGCUGGCGGAUGGUCGUGGCUCGCGACUCUGCUUGGAAAGAGGUCAUGGCAAUGGACGGAUGGUUCCCCACUCACUUAUACCAGCUGGGCGACACCUAACAACCCUCCCGAAUCCUCUUUGCUGCGUCAGCCUGGACAAUCGUACCGCCCUCUGGCUGCGCACUAGUUGUCAUCAUCUACUGGAGUUUGUCUGCAAGAAGUCCUGCUUCCAGUGUCAGCCAGAGCCUCCUGUCAAUCUUCUCGCUGGCGACGCAGAUGACUUAGGUUCUGGAGACGCAAUGAAAGUUCAGCUUCAGCAUCGCUCCUUCCGACAACCCGAGGGUCUGUCCUUAGCAGCUCCGGAAGGUGAGGUAACACAGGACACACGAGCUACACCUCGCCCCGCCACCAACCCUGCGUGUGAUGAGGCGUGCGGAAAGAGCUUCUACCGGCUAUCCACGACUCCAAAGGCAUGGCGGGAGGCGCAGGAGGACUGCCUGGCUGGGGACGGGCGUGUUGCGGUAGUGGUGAACAGCGUGCCCCCUAAGCUGGCGUCAAGAUUGGCUGCACUGGGGUCUCCCCUGUGGGUGGGGAGCCGUGCCUCAGACGCUGUACUGAUGCGCCCUAGACCAGCCAUUACCCUUUCUGGAGUCCUCCCGACACGAGCAAGACGGAGGCAUCGCGGUCCCUGCCGCGUGGCUGUGCCAGGGUCUGGCCGCCCCUCUACUGUUGGUUGCCGCCGCCGCUACCACUACCUGUGUGAAUACUUGCAUCGUCAGGAUGACCGGCCCUCGCCUCCAGCCUCUAUCCUCGCCGGGCCCACCAAACCCCGGUCCCCCUGUACCGCGGGCUGGUACCCUUCUGGCGGAAGCUGCUACCGGACCUUCUCGACGUGGAAGACGUGGGCGGCGGCGGAGGAAACCUGCGUGAGUCACGGAGGGCACCUAGCGAGUGUUGGCAGCCCCUCAGAACACCAAGCCCUCCUCAGCCUGUCCUUGGGCAGCGAGGUGACCAGUCCUGUGUGGAUCGGUUUGCGCCGCGCAGAAGGAGGCGCUGACGCAUUCGAGUGGGUGGAUGGCACGCCCUUCCACCCUAACCUGGGCUGGGAGCGAAGCCAGCCUGACCACCACCUGGGGCGGGAGUGGUGCGGGGCCGCCAGCCUGCCUGGGUUUGCCCUGCAAGACGCCGUGUGCCUCACCGUCAUGCCCUUCGUAUGUGAGGCAGCCUAUGGCAUGUCACGAAAUCCACUGCCUCCCCCACCCGCCUUACCUGACCAGACGUGUGAAGGUGACCCCGCUUGGUUGCGACUCGGGGACCACUGUUACAGGCUGGUGGGCGUCGAGGACCAACAGCCAUGGGGGGAGUCCAACAAAAGGUGUCUUGAGGAGGGUGCUAUCCUAGCCUCUGUACAUUCGCUGGAGGAGAACUACUGGCUGCAGGCGAAGUUGCUCAGGCUGAGUGUGGAGGCGGUGUGGGUCGGCGGGCGCAUACGGAAGGAGGAGUAUCGCUGGCUUGACCACACGCCAUUCAACUUUACGAACUGGGCACCUGGUGAACCAAACAAUGUCCAUGACCAGGAGGAUUGUCUCGCCCUCUACACGCGCCGCCAAGGUUACUGGAACGACCAGAACUGUGGCUUCCCUGCAGGACGGGUGUGUAAGAGGCCCCUGGGGAGUAGCCAACGCCCCAAGCUCUCCAUUCCCGCCCCGACACCCGCUGCUUCCUCAAGCCACUGUCCCCGAGGAUGGACCACCGCCCAGGGGCACAGGUGUUACAAGUACUUCGCUGAGCUGAGGGACUUCGAUGGUGCCCGCGCCGCCUGCAGGAGAGAGACUCCCGACGCAGAACUGGCCAGCGUGCACACAGCGGAGCAGCAGGCUUACCUCACCAUGUUAGCGGGCGUGGAAAUGACAGGGGCGUGGCUUGGGAUGAAGAGGCAACAGGAGCACGUCCUAUGGGUGGACCAGACACCCGUCACCUUCACCUCCUGGGCGGCGGGCGAACCCAGCGGCACCCGGGCAACGAUAAAGGUCGAGGCUGGGCGGCGGCUGCGGCAGGUUGAGGAGUGCGUGGAGCUGCUCACUCACAGUAGAGCGGGAAUGUGGAACGACGUAGCCUGCAGCGAGAAACGGGCUUUCUUGUGCCAGACUCCUGUAGAGCCAGCGGGACUAGAGUACAUAUCACCCUCUCCCUCCACUUCUCCCUCGCCCUCAUCCUCUCCCUCCCCUUCUUGGCCCUCUCCCUCUCCCUCCCAGAGUUGCCCUCUGCCCCACAGUCACUACUUGAGGCGGGGUGAACACUGCUACCGCCACGUCCUCACCCCACUCCCCUGGCAGGAGGCAGAGGACACCUGUAGCAGGGAGGGGGCGCACCUGGCCACGGCCCUUACCAAGACGCAGGCUGCGGCAGUGUGGGUGGCGGUGAUGGAGGCUGAGCUGCAGGAGGCGUGGCUGGGACUGCGUUAUGAGGAAGAGCACGAAGCCUUCAGGUGGUCGAGUGGGUGGCCGCUGCUGCACUCUCACUGGUCCUCCGAUACCAGCAGAGAGAGUAGCGGGGGAUGCGCAGCUCUCAGCGCCUCCUCAGGGCAGUGGGUGGUGCGUCCUUGCCUCGUCACGCUACCCUUCAUCUGCCAUCUAGGUGUCUAUUGGAGGGCGGUGACCUGACCUCCAUUAUCUCUGGGGCGGAGAUGACACUGCUCACCAUGGCGCUUCACGACGUGACCCAAGCCGUGUGGAUUGGACUGCUGCGGGAGGAACACGGACAACGGUGGAUAGACGGUCUGCGGCUCAACUUCACCAACUGGAACGAAGGGGAACCGAACGGCGGAGCGGGCCUGUGUACUGAAGUGUACUCCAACACCGGCCGCUGGAACGACGUGGAGUGUUCCCAG
rnacentral:misc_RNA from 1 species